rnacentral:rRNA from 1 species
AUGCACGCCGGCGGCGUGCCUAAUACAUGCAAGUCGCGCGAACAGACGAGGAGCUUGCUCCUCUGACGUUAGCGGCGGACGGGUGAGUAACACGUGGAUAACCUACCUAUAAGACUGGGAUAACUUCGGGAAACCGGAGCUAAUACCGGAUAAUAUAUUGAACCGCAUGGUUCAAUAGUGAAAGACGGUUUUGCUGUCACUUAUAGAUGGAUCCGCGCCGCAUUAGCUAGUUGGUAAGGUAACGGCUUACCAAGGCAACGAUGCGUAGCCGACCUGAGAGGGUGAUCGGCCACACUGGAACUGAGACACGGUCCAGACUCCUACGGGAGGCAGCAGUAGGGAAUCUUCCGCAAUGGGCGAAAGCCUGACGGAGCAACGCCGCGUGAGUGAUGAAGGUCUUCGGAUCGUAAAACUCUGUUAUUAGGGAAGAACAAAUGUGUAAGUAACUAUGCACGUCUUGACGGUACCUAAUCAGAAAGCCACGGCUAACUACGUG